AUAGGGAUACCCUUUUUCCCCCUCCAAAAUGUAUAGACUGCCAUUGUGCUGACAGAUUUGUUUUUAUUACCUUUUAUAUGACCAUAUAAUGUAAUAUUCGUAUGAACGUGAUGCGUAAGUAAGUGGGUUUUCAUGAGAUAGUAAGUGUUUUAUUGUAAGAAGUCCUAGUAAUGGGACCACUCUUAAGUCUCUCUCCAACCCCAUCUUUGUGGUGUGCUGUGGCAUCGCUGCCCUAAACUCUGCCAAUCCCUGCAGAUGAGGUUUUACUACUAUACUCCUCUUUUGAGUCUAAGAGUGUAGGCAAGGGGGCUAGGGAACACAUUUACCGAAGACAUGAACUCCACACUCUCUCUCUUUUUAAGCAUCAUAUCCCGGAAAAGGAUUUGGAAUUAUAUGAUAAAAAUUGGAGAUUGGAUGGCGGUGGGUGUAAGAGUAAGAGAAGAGAUGGUGGUGGGUGUAUGAGUAAGAGAAGAGGUGAGGCGGACAGAAAAUAAGCACCACUAGACGAGUUGCAGCCCAUGGAGUUGGACUACAUUAGCAAGGCAAAAGCUGCUUGCAUUCCACUAUGUGGCUGCUAAAGAUUUCGUGGCCCAGCGCAGGGAGCAAAAUUGGUCCCGAAUCAUCCCCAAUUAACCAUCUUUACUAUCUAGCUGAAAAUUUAGGGAAUUAUAGUAAAAAUAUCAUGGAGGUGAAUUAAAAGUUAUGUUGCAUUUUGUUUUUUUUAUUUAAAAAAUAGGUAAAUUAAUUAAAUUAAAAAAGAAAUUGAUAUUUUCGGUUCAAACUUUCAUAUGUUUGUACUGUUAAAAAUUAGUGUGGUUGUUAGAAUAAUCGAACAAUGACACAUGACGUGCCACUUGUACCUCAUGCUGAUUUAUAAAGAUCAGUUUUUAACAGUAAAAAUGAAUGAAUUUUUUUAUAAAAUAA